rnacentral:lncRNA from 1 species
GCCUGUGACUGGAGGAUGCCGGUGGAACCACAGGUUGAUCGGCUGGGGCUGCCGAUGGAAUUAUAUCGGCUGAAAGAAUAGCAGAAAUAAUUGUAAGACAGAAGAAAUAAGUUCAUCGGCAAUGAUUUCAUAGGAAGUGUGUUACCUUGGGGAGGUGCAGUACUUGUCUGAAUGGAAGAGACUACCGAUGAUAUGAUUGAGCCU